rnacentral:lncRNA from 1 species
CCUCAGCCUCCUGAGUAGAAGGGCUUGCAGGCACACACCACAACACUUGGCUCAGCUGGGUUUUGAAGGAUAAGUAGAUAUUUUCCCAUAUCAUUGAGAGCAAGAAGAUUCUAGGUUUUAGGAGAAAUGCUGAAAGGGCCUGUAAGGCUGGGCUCUGAUGUGUUUGCACGCAUGCAUGUGUGUGUGUAUGUAUGUGGUGGGAGGAGCCAGAGGGGUCAUUGCUCAAGGUGGCUAAAUGUGGCACGUGUAGACCAUCAGCAAUUCCACAUCCCACAAGGAAAGUUCUGAUCUGUGCUGGAACUAGAGU